rnacentral:rRNA from 1 species
CUACGGGUUGCACCAGUGGGGAAUAUUGGACAAUGGGGGAAACCCUGAUCCAGCAAUGCCGCGUGUGUGAAGAAGGCCUGCGGGUUGUAAAGCACUUUCGGUUGGGAGGACUGCUUCUAGCACUAAUAUUGUUGGAAGUUGACGUUACCUUCAGAAGAAGCACCGGCUAACUCCGUGCCAGCAGGGGCCGCGGUAAUACGGAGGGUGCAAGCGUUAAUCGGAAUUACUGGGCGUAAAGCGCGCGUAGGCGGCUAGAUCAGUCGGGUGUGAAAGCCCCGGGCUUAACCUGGGAACUGCAUCCGAUACUGGCUAGCUUGUGUACAGGAGAGGAGAGUGGAAUUCCACAUGUAGCGGUGAAAUGCGUAGAUAUGUGGAGGAACACCAAUGGCGAAGGCAGCUCUCUGGCCUGAUACUGACGCUGAGGUGCGAAAGCGUGGGGAGCAAACAGGAUUAGAUACCCGCGUAGUC